rnacentral:rRNA from 1 species
CCUGGGCUACACACGUGCUACAAUGGUGGUACAACGAGUUGCGAGUCGGUGACGGCGAGCUAAUCUCUUAAAGCCAAUCUCAGCUCGGAUUGUAGGCUGCAACUCGCCUACAUGAAGUCGGAAUCGCUAGUAAUCGCGGAUCAGCACGCCGCGGUGAAUACGUUCCCGGGCCUU